rnacentral:rRNA from 1 species
UACGAAGGGGGCUAGCGUUGCUCGGAAUUACUGGGCGUAAAGGGCGCGUAGGCGGCACUGUUUAGUCAGGCGUGAAAUUCCUGGGCUCAACCUGGGGACUGCGCUUGAUACGGCAGAGCUAGAGGAUGGAAGAGGCUCGCGGAAUUCCCAGUGUAGAGGUGAAAUUCGUAGAUAUUGGGAAGAACACCGGUGGCGAAGGCGGCGAGCUGGUCCAUUACUGACGCUGAGGCGCGACAGCAGUGGGGAGCAACAGG